rnacentral:rRNA from 1 species
GAGUUUGAUCCUGGCUCAGAUGAACGCUGGCGGGUUAAUACAUGCAAGUCGAGCGAACGGAUAAGGAGCUUGCUCCUUUGAAGUUAGCGGGGACGGGUGAGUAACAGUGGGUAACCUACCUAUAAGACUGGAAUAACUUCGGGAAACCGGAGCUAAUGCCGGAUAACAUAUAGAACCGCAUGGUCUAUAGUGAAAGAUGGUUUUGCUAUCACUUAUAGAUGGACCCGCGCCGUAUUAGCUAGUUGGUAAGGUAAUGGCUUACCAAGGCGACGAUACGUAGCCGACCUGAGAGGGUGAUCGGCCACACUGGAACUGAGACACGGUCCAGACUCCUACGGGAGGCAGCAGUAGGGAAUCUUCCGCAAUGGGCGAAAGCCUGACGGAGCAACGCCGCGUGAGUGAUGAAGGUUUUCGGAUCGUAAAACUCUGUUAUUAGGGAAGAACAAAUGCGUAAGUAACUGUGCGCAUCUUGACGGUACCUAAUCAGAAAGCCGCGGCUAACUACGUGCCAGCAGCCCGCGGUAAUACGUAGGUGGCAAGCCGUUAUCCGGAAUUAUUGGGCCGUAAAGCGCGCGUAGGCGGUUUCUUAAGUCUGAUGUGAAAGCCCACGGCUCAACCCGUGGAGGGUCAUUGGAAACUGGGAAACUUGAGUGCAGAAGAAGGAAAGUGGAAUUUCCAUGUGUAGCGGUGAAAUGCCC